ensembl:lncRNA
CCUCCAUGUGGUAAUUCUGAUUCAGAAUUAUAGAAGCUUUCUGAGUCUGAUUCUGAUUCUGAUUCUUCAACUAAACUGCUGUGGCUUUCAUUUAAACUGUGAACGUGUACAUGCUGUAAAAUGGUCAAAUAGUUUAGUUUAUUGUAUAAUAUGUUAUUUAUUUAUUUAUUAUAUGAUGUUGAAUUGUAAUUGACAAGGGAGACAUGGUGGCUUAGUGGUUAGCACAUUUGCCCUGCAUCACCGGGGUUGGGGGUUUGAUAAGGUAUGGAAAAUGGAUGGAUGGAUGGGUGGAUGUAAUUGACAAACUGUUCCACCUAUUUCAGUUUGUUUAAAGCAACAGCAUGUAUAAUGUUGUAAUUCUACUCUCUCUGGUUCAUCUCGAUCUCUCUGUUCUAUGUCUAUGUCUGAUGGCCUUUUCAACAUCCCUGUCCACUUUUGAGUGGUUUGGUAGCCCAACUCUAAUGCUCUGCUUCGUCACUUAUGAAACCUACAUACUGGACUCUCUUGUUCCCCUGUUCCACUUGCUUGCCUCAUCACCAUGUAGUCAGAUUUCUUGUGCGCAUGAUGUGAUGAUGUUUGACGUGUCAAGGAUGGCUUAUGACGAAUAUGUAUAAAACUGCAAUCAAAUCUGCCCUGACAGAUCUGACUUAUUCUCUUAGACCACUACAAUAUCCUGCUCACUGGCUGAUUUCUCCCUACUGUUGAAAUAUUGCAUCUUUACAGAGAAGAAGAGUUUUCUGCCUCUUGGAGAUUUGUCUGCCUGGAUCUUAAUAAAAAUCUCCACCAGCAUUUGCAUCUUUCUGCCCAUUUCGCUCAUGUGACAGCCGAUGUGGCUGCACGUUUUAAUUCCAGCCUUUCAGGAGGCACACGUGAUAAUUGACUGGAGGCCAUGAUGAACUCAUUAAACAAGUGAAAUCAAAUCUGCUUGUUUGGAAUGAAAUCCUACAGUCAUACUGGCCCUUUGUUGAUACAACUGAAGACCCCUGAUGUAAAGUAUGAAUAGAGCAGUGAUUCUGGGAUUUUGAAAGUCAAGUAGUGUGGCCUAGGCAUUUGUAAUGUUUUAAACAAAAAACUUUGCCUGCUGAUUAGAUAUAUGUUGUGUGAGAGGUCACAGAGUCCAGUGUGUGCAUGUAUUUGUGUUCUUGGCCCAUAGAGUGCUGUAAUAGUAUGUAUUUGUGCAGUAAUAACAUCCUCACAUUGUGUGGCGUGAACCACGCCUAGGGCACACUACAUGACUUUGCCAAGGGUGAAAAGUGGAUUAUUUAUAAAGACAAUAUGCAAAGAUUCUUUCUUCUGAACAUUUCUGGGCACUAAAUUAAAUAUUAAUUUAAAAUUAAUAAAAAAUUGUCAUUACCAGUCAGGUCUAGUCCAAAUUAUUAUUUAUGAGUUUAAUUAUUAUAAUUGUUUGUCAGUCAUUUCAAAUAAACUGCUCAAUAAUAAAUUAAAAUUUUAAUUGAUCAGUAUUGUUUUGCUCAUUCC